AUACUAAGAACUUUCCAGAGAUGGAUUGGUGCCUUCGGGAACUUAGAUACAGGUGCUGCAUGGCUGUCGUCAGCUCGUGUCGUGAGAUUGUUGGGUUAAGUCCCGNAACGAGCGCAACCCUUUUCCUUAUUUGCCAGCGGGUCAUGCCGGGAACUUUAAGGAUACUGCCAGUGACAAACUGGAGGAAGGCGGGGACGACGUCAAGUCAUCAUGGCCCUUACGGCCAGGGCUACACACGUGCUACAAUGGUCGGUACAAAGGGUUGCUACCUCGCGAGAGGAUGCUAAUCUCAAAAAGCCGAUCGUAGUCCGGAUCGCAGUCUGCAACUCGACUGCGUGAAGUCGGAAUCGCUAGUAAUCGCGGAUCAGAAUGCCGCGGUGAAUACGUUCCCGGGCCUUGUACACACCGCCCGUCACACCAUGGGAGUUUGUUGCACCAGAAGUAGGUAGUCUAACCGCAAGGAGGACGCUUACCACGGUGUGGCCGAUGACUGGGGUGAAGUCGUAACAAGGUAAGCGUAGAUGA
rnacentral:rRNA from 1 species